GCUGUCGUAGCUCAGUGGUUACGGCUUCAAGUUGCCAAUAAGAUGAUCAUGUGUUCAAAUCCCAACACCACA